GGAUGGGACUUUGGGCUCCGAGGCCGCGACCCUCACCGUCCCGCAGCAAGGCACCCUGGGAUGCAGCGGUGGAGGUCAGAUCCAGCAUAUGGCUCAGAGUGGGGGUCUCCCUCAUCGAGAAGGAUGGCGUGUGAGUGUGUGUGUGUGUGAGUGUGUAUUUGUGAAUGUGUGUGUGUGUGUGAAAGUAAAAGAGCAAAAAGAGAGAAACUGUGGAGAGGCUGAGGGUGUGAGAGAGAGAGAGAGAGAGAGAGAGAGAGGGUGAGAAAAAGAGCAAGUGUGUGUGUGUGUGUGUGUGUGUGUGUGUGUGUGUGAAAGUAAAAGAGCAAAAAGAGAGAAACUGUGGAGAGGCUGAGGGUGUGAGAGAGAGAGAGAGAGAGAGAGAGAGAGGGUGAGAAAAAGAGCAAGUGUGUGUGUGUGUGUGUGUGUGUGUGUGUGUGUGUGUGUGUGUGUGAGGGACAGCUCGUCCUUCAGGCUCACCUCACCCCCCCCACCCCCCACGGGGUCUUUCUUCUCGGCGGUGGCGGCGGCGUUUUACUGGCCCCAGCUGACGACCAUGAAAUAGAGGAAAGGACUGAAGGCAGUGAGGACAUCUCCUUCCCUUCCUUCCUCUCCUUGUUUCCUUUCCUUCCUCCAUUUUUCCCCACUCCCACAUCCUUCCUUCCUUUUUCUGCUCUUUGUCUCCACUCUGUUUGUCUUUUUGUCCCAACGGUCUUUCCAUCCAUUCCAUCUUUCCUUCCUUCCUUCCUUCCUUCCUUCCUUUCUUUCUUCCCUUAUUUCCACCCUCUGUAGCAGAUGUUGCUCCUUCCUUCCUUCCUUCCCCCUUCCUUCCUUUCCUUAUUUCCACCCUCUGAAGCAGAUGUUGCUCCUUCCUUCCUUCCUUCCUUCCUUCCUUUCCUUAUUUCCACGCUCUGAAGCAGAUGUUGCUCCUUCCUUCCUUCCUUCCUUCCUUCCUUUCCUUAUUUCCACCCUCUGAAGCAGAUGUUGCUCCUUCCUUCCUUCCUUCCUUCCUUCCUUUCCUUAUUUCCACGCUCUGAAGCAGAUGUUGCUCCUUCCUUCCUUCCUUCCUUCCUUCCUUUCCUUAUUUCCACCCUCUGAAGCAGAUGUUGCUCCUUCCUUCCUUCCUUCCUUCCUUUCCUUAUUUCCACCCUCUGUAGCAGAUGUUGCUCCUUCCUUCCUUCCUUCCUUUCCUUAUUUCCACCCUCUGUAGCAGAUGUUGCUCCUUCCUUCCUUCCUUCCUUCCUUCCCCCUUCCUUCCUUUCCUUAUUUCCACCCUCUGAAGCAGAUGUUGCUCCUUCCUUCCUUCCUUCCUUCCUUCCCUCCUUCCCUUAUUUCCACCCUCUGAAGCAGAUGUUGCUCCUUCCUUCCUUCCCCCCUUCCUUCCUUUCCUUAUUUCCUCCCUCUGUAGCAGAUGUUGCUCCUUCCUUCCUUCCUUCCUUCCUUCCCUCCUUCCCUUAUUUCCACCCUCUGAAGCAGAUGUUGCUCCUUCCUUCCUUCCUUCCUUCCCUCCUUUCCUUAUUUCCUCCCUCUGUAGCAGAUGUUGCUCCUUCCUUCCUUCCUUCCUUCCUUCCCUCCUUCCCUUAUUUCCACCCUCUGAAGCAGAUGUUGCUCCUUCCUUCCUUCCUUCCUUCCUUUCCUUAUUUCCACCCUCUGUAGCAGAUGUUGCUCCUUCCUUCCUUCCUUCCUUUCCUUAUUUCCACCCUCUGAAGCAGAUGUUGCUCCUUCCUUCCUUCCUUCCUUCCUUUCCUUAUUUCCACCCUCUGUAGCAGAUGUUGCUCCUUCCUUCCUUCCUUCCUUCCCUUAUUUCCACCCUCUGAAGCAGAUGUUGCUCCUUCCUUCCUUCCUUCCUUCCCUCCUUUCCUUAUUUCCUCCCUCUGUAGCAGAUGUUGCUCCUUCCUUCCUUCCUUCCUUCCUUCCCUCCUUCCCUUAUUUCCACCCUCUGAAGCAGAUGUUGCUCCUUCCUUCCUUCCUUCCUUUCCUUAUUUCCACCCUCUGUAGCAGAUGUUGCUCCUUCCUUCCUUCCUUCCUUCCCUUAUUUCCACCCUCUGAAGCAGAUGUUGCUCCUUCCUUCCUUCCUUCCUUCCCUCCUUUCCUUAUUUCCUCCCUCUGUAGCAGAUGUUGCUCCUUCCUUCCUUCCUUCCUUCCUUCCCUCCUUUCCUUAUUUCCACCGUCUGAAGCAGAUGUUGCUCCUUCCUUCCUUCCUUCCUUCCCUUAUUUCCACCCUCUGAAGCAGAUGUUGCUCCUCUCUUCCUUCCUUCCUUCCUUCCUUCCUUCCUUCCUUCCCUUAUUUCCACCCUCUGAAGCAGAUGUUGCUCCUUCCUUCCUUCCUUCCUUCCUUUCCUUAUUUCCUCCCUCUGUAGCAGAUGUUGCUCCUUCCUUCCUUCCUUCCUUCCUUCCCUCCUUCCCUUAUUUCCACCCUCUGAAGCAGAUGUUGCUCCUUCCUUCCUUCCUUCCUUCCUUCCUUCCUUCCUUCCUUCCUUUCCUUAUUUCCACCCUCUGAAGCAGAUGUUGCUCCUUCCUUCCUUCCUUCCUUCCUUUCCUUAUUUCCACCCUCUGUAGCAGAUGUUGCUCCUUCCUUCCUUCCUUCCUUCCUUCCUUUCCUUAUUUCCACCCUCUGUAGCAGAUGUUGCUCCUUCCUUCCUUCCUUCCUUCCUUCCUUCCCCUCCUCCUUUCCUUAUUUCC